GUCUACGGCCAUGCUACCCUGAACAAGCCCAAUCCCAUCUGAUCCUGGAAGCUAAGCAGGGUCAGGCAUGGUUAGUACUUGGAUAGGAGACCACCUAGGAAGACCAGGUGCUGUAGGCA
rnacentral:rRNA from 1 species